GCUUUACACAAGCGGUGGGCCAUGUGGCUCAAUUCGACGCUAAACGAGGAACCUUACCAGGGCUUGAAAAACUAGUGAAACACCGAGAAAUCGGGACUACCCACAAGGACACUAGUCCAGGUGCUGCAUGGUUGUCGUCAGCAUGUGUUUUGAAAUGCACGCUUAAAUGCGGUAACAUGCGCAACCCCUACUCUAUGUUUUAUAUGUCAUAGAGAACUGCCUGGGAUAACCAGGAGGAAGGUGGGGAUGACGCCAAAUCAGCAUGGCCCUUUGAUGCCCUGGGCUGCACACAUGGUACAAUGGGACUGACAACGAGUUGCGAAGGGGUAACCCGGAGCUAAUCUCUUAAACAGUUCCCCAGUUCGGAUUGAGGUCUGAAGCUCGACCUCAUGAAGUUGGAAUCGCUAGUAAUCGCCAAUCAGCUAUGUGGCGAUGAAUACGUCCCUGAAGCUUGUACUCACUGCCCGUCACAUUAAGGGAGCCGGCAGUAGCCGAAAUUCUAUCAUUAAGAUGGACCUAAGCUAAGGUCGGUAACAAGAAUGAAGUCGUAACAAGGUA
rnacentral:rRNA from 1 species